rnacentral:rRNA from 1 species
UACAUGGGGUGCAAACGUUGCUCGGAAUUAUUGGGCGUAAAGCGCACGUAGGCGGCUUUGUAAGUUAGAGGUGAAAGCCCGGGGCUCAACUCCGGAAUUGCCUUUAAGACUGCAUCGCUAGAAUUGUGGAGAGGUAAGUGGAAUUCCGAGUGUAGAGGUGAAAUUCGUAGAUAUUCGGAAGAACACCAGUGGCGAAGGCGACUUACUGGACACAUAUUGACGCUGAGGUGCGAAAGCGUGGGGAGCAAACAGG